CCAAUAGCGUAUAUUAAAGUUGUUGCAGUUAAAAAGCUCGUAGUUGAAUUUCGGGGUUAGUAAGUUGGUCGUGCCUAUGGUAUGCACUGGCUUUACUGAUUCCUCCUUCUUGAAGAACUGUAAUGUCAUUAAUUUGGUGUUGCAGGGAAACAGGACUGUUACUUUGAAAAAAUUAGAGUGUUUAAAGCAGGCUAACGCUUGAAUACAUUAGCAUGGAAUAAUGAAAUAGGACGUUUGAUCCUAUUUUGUUGGUUUCUAGGAUUGACGUAAUGAUUAAUAGGGAUAGUUGGGGGCAUUAGUAUUCAAUUGUCAGAGGUGAAAUUCUUGGAUUUAUUGAAGACUAACUACUGCGAAAGCAUUUGCCAAGGAUGUUUUCAUUAAUCAAGACCGAAAGUUAGGGGAUCGAAGACGAUCAGAUACCGUCGUAGUCUUAACCAUAAACUAUGCCGACUAGGGAUCGGAUGAUGUUAAUUUUUUAAUGACUCAUUCGGCGCCUUACG
rnacentral:rRNA from 1 species